rnacentral:rRNA from 1 species
GGGAGGACAGGUGGUGCAUGGUUGUCGUCAGCUCGUGUCGUGAGAUGUUGGGCUAAGUCCCGCAACGAGCGCAACCCUUAUCGUUAGUUGCUACCAUUAAGUUGAGCACUCUAGCGAGACUGCCCGGGUUAACCGGGAGGAAGGUGGGGAUGACGUCAAAUCAUCAUGCCCCCUUAUGUCUAGGGCUACACACGUGCUACAAUGGUGAGAACAAAGAGAGGCAAGACCGCGAGGUGGAGCAAAUCUCACAAAACUCAUCCCAGUUCGGAUUGCAGGCUGAAACUCGCCUGCAUGAAGCCGGAGUUGCUAGUAAUCGCGAAUCAGCAUGUCGCGGUGAAUACGUUCCCGGGCCUU